UAACACAUGGGUCAUCUACCCCACGGUGAGGAAUACCGGCGAGAAAUCGCCGACAAGACCGCAUACGCUCGCAAGAGCAAAGUCUCGCCAGAGACGCCUGGGGAUGAGCCUGUGGCCGAUUAGCUGGUUGGUGGGGUAAAAGCUCACCAAGGCGACGAUCGGUAGCUGGUCUGAGAGGACGAUCAGCCACACUGGGAUUGAGAACGGCCCAG
rnacentral:rRNA from 1 species